UAGGGAAUAUUGGUCAAUGGGCGGAAGCCUGAACCAGCCAUGCCGCGUGCAGGAAGACGGCCCUAUGGGUUGUAAACUGCUUUUAUAUGGGGAGAAAUGACGUUAUUAAUAAUGUUUUGACGGUACCAUAGGAAUAAGGAUCGGCUAACUACGUGCCAGCAGCCGCGGUAAUACGUAGGAUCCAAGCGUUGUCCGGAUUUAUUGGGUUUAAAGGGUGCGUAGGCGGGAGUAUAAGUCAGUGGUGAAAGCCCAUCGCUCAACGGUGGAACUGCCAUUGAUACUGUACACCUAGAAUUCGGUAGAGGUUGGCGGAAUGUGUAGUGUAGCGGUGAAAUGCAUAGAUAUUACACAGAACACCGAUUGCGAAGGCAGCUAGCUAUGCCUGGAUUGACGCUGAGGC
rnacentral:rRNA from 1 species